CCCGGCGACCGGCGCACGGGUGAGUAACACGUAUGAAACCUGCCCGUAGCAGGGGGAUAACCGGGAGAAAUCCCGACUAAUACCGCGUAACGCCGCGGACCUGCAUGGGUCUGCGGCCAAAGGAAGCGAUUCCGGCAGGGGAUGGGCAUGCGGCGCAUUAGCUAGUCGGCGGGGUAACGGCCCACCGAGGCGACGAUGCGUAGGGGUUCUGAGAGGAAGGUCCCCCACACUGGUACUGAGACACGGACCAGACUCCUACGGGAGGCAGCAG
rnacentral:rRNA from 1 species